rnacentral:misc_RNA from 1 species
UGUGAGCGGUCUAAACUUCGACCCUUAUUUCUUCCAAUUAUGUUCUCGUACCCAAGCCCGCCUCCUCUACUUUCUUAUGUGAAAGAGGUCCUUGCUUUAUGAGAUAAAAAAACUUUCUUUCUUCGGUCGGAAUACAAAUAAGUAAUGCUCACCAGGAGGCCGGAGGCAAGCCCAAAACUGUAGAUAUAGGUCUUUCUUUAAGAACAAAAAGCUUGGGACAUUGCUUGGGCCGAGUUAAGUAAACGAUUGCUUCCAAUCACAUGUAUUUGGUCUCAUCAGGGAUUGCAUUACGACAAAUAGACUAAGAGACCUUUCCAAACUUCAUGUGUUAAGCAAAUCUUUCUUUUUCAAAAAAAACGGCUUUUUAAGA